rnacentral:lncRNA from 1 species
UAACUGCGUGGUCUUUGAAAUUAGAAAAGGAAAAAAAAAACAAUUCAAGUAUUGGGUGGCAGCACAAUAAUUAAAUUACAUAUCAUAGAAUACUUUAUCAUAUAUGAUAUUUAUUAUAUCUUUUCCUAAUGCAAGAAGCCAUUCCUCACUGUAGAGCCUUUUUCUAUUCUCUUUGGUGUUGUACUCCAACGUUUACCAACACCAUUACCACAUAGACAUUUGUAUUUAAUACACCGAGGAAUCCUAGGAAGCACACACUUAACUGUUGUUUCACAAGCAGAAUCACUAUGACAUUCAAAGUACGCUGUAAUAAUGAGAAAAAAAAGAGAAAAAGAAUGUUACAAAUUAAAGGGGACAGAAGACUACAUAAGAAGUAAAGAAUACAAUUUUAACAUAAUGAAACAAUUCUUACCCCCCUUUGUAACAAGAAAUAGAGACAAAAAGUAGAUCAUAACAUAAACAAACGUCAUAAAUUUAGCCAUAUAUUUCCCUUCUUUUGCAUGUAUCAAAUAGGAAACGAUAUGACCACUUUAUAAUGUUUAAAGCUCUUACUUUGCAUAGAUUUAAUAGAU